GCAAGUGUAGUCAGAAUGGCGGAGGCGCCAGAUUUAAGUUCUGGUUCUCAAAAGAGAGCGUGGGUUUGAACCCCACUUCUGAACA